rnacentral:rRNA from 1 species
AGUGAACGCUGGCGGUAGGCCUAACACAUGCAAGUCGAACGGCAGCACAGUAAGAGCUUGCUCUUACGGGUGGCGAGUGGCGGACGGGUGAGGAAUACAUCGGAAUCUACUUUUUCGUGGGGGAUAACGUAGGGAAACUUACGCUAAUAUCGCAUACGACCUACGGGUGAAAGCAGGAGAUCUUCGGACCUUGCGCGAUUGAAUGAGCCGAUGUCGGAUUAGCUAGUUGGCGGGGUAAAGGCCCACCAAGGCGACGAUCCGUAGCUGGUCUGAGAGGAUGAUCAGCCACACUGGAACUGAGACACGGUCCAGACUCCUACGGGAGGCAGCAGUGGGGAAUAUUGGACAAUGGGCGCAAGCCUGAUCCAGCCAUACCGCGUGGGUGAAGAAGGCCUUCGGGUUGUAAAGCCCUUUUGUUGGGAAAGAAAAGCAGCAGGUGAAUACCCCGCUGUUCUGACGGUACCCAAAGAAUAAGCACCGGCUAACUUCGUG